rnacentral:rRNA from 1 species
UCGAGUGCGCGCCUGUAGCAAUACAGGUGGCGCACGGCGCACGGGUGCGUAACACGUGGGUAAUCUGCCCUUCGAUGGGGAAUAACCUCGCGAAAGCGAGGCUAAUUCCGCAUAACAUUCCGAGAACCUCGGUUUUUGGAUUCAAAGGCGUAAGUCGUCGGAGGAGGAGCCCGCGCACGAUUAGCUAGUUGGUAGGGUAAUGGCCUACCAAGGCUAUGAUCGUUAGCUGGUCUGAGAGGAUGGCCAGCCACACUGGAACUGAGACACGGUCCAGACUCCUACGGGAGGCAGCAGUGGGGAAUCUUGCACAAUGGGCGAAAGCCUGAUGCAGCGACGCCGCGUGGGGGAUGAAGCUUCUCGGAGUGUAAACCCCUUUCGACCCGGACGAAUGCCCCGCAAGGGGACUGACGGUACGGGUAUAAGAAGCCCCGGCUAACUACGUGCCAGCAGCCGCGGUAAGACGUAGGGGGCCAGCGUUGCUCGGAAUUACUGGGUGUAAAGGGUUCGUAGGCGGUGUAGCAAGUUGGGAGUGAAAUCUCUGGGCUCAACCCAGAGGCUGCUUCCAAAACUGCUGUGCUUGAGUGUGGGAGAGGCGCGUGGAAUUGCAGGUGUAGCGGUGAAAUGCGUAGAUAUCUGCAGGAACACCCGUGGCGAAAGCGGCGCGCUGGACCACUACUGACGCUGAGGAACGAAAGCUAGGGGAGCAAACAGGAUUAGAUACCCUGGUAGUCCUAGCCCUAAACGAUCAGGACUUGGGGUGCCACCCGUUCGGGUGUCGUCCCGGAGCUAACGCGUUAAGUCCUGCACCUGGGGAGUACGGUCGCAAGACUGAAACUCAAAGGAAUUGACGGGGGCCCGCACAAG